CAGCAGCAGAGUGUGAGUCCCUUAAUAAGAGACGGACCUGCCGACCAACGCUGAGCUCCAGAUGAAACACGCUCUCUACGGGCUUAGAGACGUCUCAUCUCAGAACGAUGCUGGUCGACCCAGAAGCUGCAGCUCGAGGACAGAACUGGAAGCAGCUCUCUGGAAAGGCCUGUAGAACCAUUAAAGAGUUUACGAGAGUUUUUCGUUCCUCCCUGGAAAACUUCAGUCCCAAAACAGAGACAUGUUGGAGAAGACUGCUUGGACUCCAGCAUCAGUUUCCUCCAGGAGACCCUGCAGCUCAAUUUGAGGUUGGGUAAAAAUAUUGAUUCAUCAGUGCAUUGCAAUUCAUCUUCUUCCAAUUCAGGGUGGUUCAUGGCAUGGUGAACAACAGUUUCCAUGGUUGUGCGCUCUGGUUCCAGGAACGUUUGAGUUUUCAAAGUAAUUUUUAAAUUAGUUACCAAAGUUUGAUGUGAAGUUGUAGUCUUCUUCGUUGUCUUGUUAUUCUUCUUCUUGAGCUUAUUGGUGGUUGCCAAACAGCUAUUUGAUGUGCAUUACCAUCACCUGCUGGUGGGGAGUGUGGAAAGCAUAGGCAAUGUUGUUCAAAUAUUGUUAAUGAUUAAUCAAAAAUGUGAAUGUCAAGAACAACGUGAAUUAUGUUUAAAUUUACUUUUUUAUUUUAAUGUAUUUCUUAUUUUUAUUUAUGGGAAUUGCUAUGUGUGUAUGUUGUUUACAGAU